rnacentral:rRNA from 1 species
UCACGUUCACUGGUACAAAUACCCGCUGACGUACUGGCUGAACAUCAUCACAUCGCUGGGCUGUCUGGAAGGUGGUGACCUGGAUAUCGCUUAUCUUUCUGAAAUCGACCCCACCUGGACGGACAGCAGCCUGACCACCAUUAUCAACCCGGAAGCCGUCAUUUUUGCCAAUCCGAUAGCACAGGGGGCCUGCGCAGCAGAUGCCAUUGCCAGUGCCUUUAAUAUGCCUCUCGAUGUUCUGUUCUGGUGUGCCGGUUCGCAGGGCAGUAUGUACCCGUUCAAUGGCUGGGUGAGUAAUGAGUCCAGUCCGUUGCAGUYCUCCCUUGGAGGUUGUGCCCUUGAGGCGUGGCUUCCGGAGCUAACGCGUUAAGUCGACCGCCUGGGGAGUACGGCCGCAAGGUUAAAACUCAAAUGAAUUGACGGGGGCCCGCACAAGCGGUGGAGCAUGUGGUUUAAUUCGAUGCAACGCGAAGAACCUUACCUGGUCUUGACAUCCACAGAACUUUCCAGAGAUGGAUUGGUGCCUUCGGGAACUGUGAGACAGGUGCUGCAUGGCUGUCGUCAGCUCGUGUUGUGAAAUGUUGGGUUAAGUCCCGCAACGAGCGCAACCCUUAUCCUUUGUUGCCAGCGGUCCGGCCGGGAACUCAAAGGAGACUGCCAGUGAUAAACUGGAGGAAGGUGGGGAUGACGUCAAGUCAUCAUGGCCCUUACGACCAGGGCUACACACGUGCUACAAUGGCGCAUACAAAGAGAAGCGACCUCGCGAGAGCAAGCGGACCUCAUAAAGUGCGUCGUAGUCCGGAUUGGAGUCUGCAACUCGACUCCAUGAAGUCGGAAUUGCUAGUAAUCGUGGAUCAGAAUGCCACGGUGAAUACGUUCCCGGGCCUUGUACACACCGCCCGUCACACCAUGGGAGUGGGUUGCAAAAGAAGUAGGUAGCUUAACCUUCGGGAGGGCGCUUACCACUUUGUGAUUCAUGACUGGGGUGAAGUCGUAACAAGGUAACCGUAGGGGAACCUGCGGUUG